GCUUACGACUACACCUGCCUGAGUACGUCUGAUCUCGGAAGCUAAGUAGGGUCGGGCCUGUUUAGUACUUGGAUGGGUGACCGCCUGGGAAUACCAGGUGCUGUAAGCU
ensembl:rRNA 5S_rRNA 5S ribosomal RNA